AGUGAACGCUGGCGGUAGGCCUAACACAUGCAAGUCGAACGGCAGCACAGGAGAGCUUGCUCUCUGGGUGGCGAGUGGCGGACGGGUGAGGAAUACAUCGGAAUCUACUUUUUCGUGGGGGAUAACGUAGGGAAACUUACGCUAAUACCGCAUACGACCUACGGGUGAAAGCAGGGGAUCUUCGGACCUUGCGCGAUUGAAUGAGCCGAUGUCGGAUUAGCUAGUUGGCGGGGUAAAGGCCCACCAAGGCGACGAUCCGUAGCUGGUCUGAGAGGAUGAUCAGCCACACUGGAACUGAGACACGGUCCAG
rnacentral:rRNA from 1 species